GGCUGGAAUGUGGGGCUGCUGUGGGGCUGCUGCACUCCAGUGAAACAACUGCUGCUUAUAGUUCAGCGCUUUCCCCCUUUGGAGAGGGAAAUGAAAGAACAGCAUAAAUCUGAGCUGAGUCAGGAGGCUUCUGGGAAAGUCCUUUCUUUGCACUCCUAACUCCUGAACACUGAGGCAUUGUGAAUAACAAAGGAAAAGAAAUACAAAUGGAGAGAAAGUGGGAACUUACACUGAAGGGACUGAAGAAGUGAAUUCUGUCUGUUUUUGAGCCUUUGACUGUCAAUGUGAUACAAGACCAGUCACUCAAACCAACACUUCACAGAAAGCUUAGCAAUGGUGCUACCACAUCACCUUAACCCUGCCAAGUAUGAACAUGAGUGGGAGAAAGGACCUCAACCUUGUAAAGGGAAAAUAGAAGGCUGGAGAAACUCGCUUAUCUCCAAAGAA